CGUGGGGUGGAGAAGUUGGCAUCUCGUGGCGCUCAUAACGCCAAGUUCGCAGGUUCGAGUCCUGCCCCCGCUA
rnacentral:tRNA from 1 species